UUGCAAAGGGUCUGGGGGCCCGGCGUCCCCCGAUAGAAACCAACAUGGCGGAGCAGAAAGAGAGUACAGGGACCGCCGGCAGUGAAAGUGAUGCAGGCGAUGGAGAAUUUGAACCGACGGCGGAAAUGCUAGUCGAUGAUUACGACGAUGAGAGAACAUUAGACGAGGAGGAGGAUAUGGAAGAAGGCACAGACCGCGAGGAAGAGAUCGAUAACCUAGAGAAGGUGGGUGGCGUUGAUGAACCGCAGAAGGAACAGGACAUGCCCAUUGCACAGCUGCUGGCUAUGUAUAGAGGAUACCCACCCGAGGAGGGGGAAGGAGAGGUGGAGGAGCAAGCUAAUGGAGAGGGGGAGACUAACCAGAAUGAGAAUGAAAACAGUAACGGGGAAGUGAUCGAGAAUGAAGCAGAGGUCGAGAACGAGACAGAGGAGCAGGAGGAACCCGAAGUCAUAUCAUCGAGAUCUUCCACCUCCGAGGAAAAUGUAAAUAAUCACGAAAAGGAAAUAAAACCAGAUGUAAAGCCCGAGAGAAAACGGAGAGAAAAGACGUCAGAAUUGGCCCAACUCUAUGCAGACAUGGAUACCAACGGCGACACUCCGACCCCAUCGUCUUCGCGUUCUCUGAGAUGUCACAAACCUCUAGGAAUCCUGUCAACGGGCAGCUCGCGACAACAGAGUGAAGAUGAAGAGGAGGAAGAAGGGGAUUAUUCUGGGGAGGAGGAGGACUGGCAUAAAACUAUUAUGAUCGGUUCGUCCUACCAGGCACAGGUACCCGAGGGUCUACAAGCGUACGGUGCAACGCCGCCUUAUGAGAAUGAAGAUAAACUCUUGUGGGAGCCUGGCAAAUUAAGCCCUAAACAGGUAGAGGAGUACCUACGGGCACUAAGUCAUCCCCCGCCUGGUUCUCAAGGUGUUGCUGCCAUCCCCCUCGGAAAGCACGUCAGAGAUGAUGAACAGUUACUGAAUAGAAGAAAGUGGGGUAACCUGCCCCACUACCCUGGAGUAGGAAGGGGGGUGGGGGAGUGCAUCAAGCCUCAAGCAGGUGCAAGUUUGUUGAAUAAUGAUACGGGAUGCAAAUGUAAGGCUUUGUAUCUAUUACUUCAAUGUGGGUAUAAUGUAGAAGAAGCUUUACGUAGACACCGUAUGAACCCUACUCCGCUGGCCUCCACUAUGACACUAUGGUCGGAAGAGGAGUGUAGAAAUUUUGAAAACGGUCUUAAAACUUACGGCAAAGAUUUCCACCUCAUACAACAAAAUAAGGUUCGAACGAGAUCGGUGGGAGAGUUAGUACAGUUUUAUUAUCUCUGGAAGAAGACGGAAAGACACGACCUCUUCGCGACAAAAACCAGAAUUGAGAAGAAAAAAUACAUAGUUCAUCCUGGCACUACUGACUACAUGGACCGGUUCCUAGAUGAGGGAGAGGGAGGUGGCCACAUGCCGUGGCGUGACAACCGCUCGUCGUCCCCCAGUCUUCACGCUCUGUUGUAUGGGCGUCCUCCUGGAAGCACCGCCGGAGCAUCUGGAGGUGGGGUAGAAAUCUCUGCACCUGCAAGCAUUGCUCAACCUACUCAGCCCAGCUCUACAACAGAAGCCACUGGAGGGAGUAAUAACAAAGACAGCGAGGCUUCAGUUACUUAUUCUGGACUAAACCAGAUGGAAGACUUAGCCCGCCAUUUGGACCCAGACUCUAUUGAGUCCCUGGCCAAGAUGACUUCUCCGAACACUUCUGUAUCAAUUGCCAGAACUGGGAAGAGAACCAGUAGUCCUCAUCCUAUGGAUGUGGAUUUAUCUAUAUCACGUUCCUCGUUGCUAACCUCACAGACAAUGAGUGUAGAGGCUAAAAGUGUAGCAAUGGCAGAAACUGUUGCACAGUGAAAUAUACUGUAUGCCUUUUUUAAUGUGUAUGAGUGGUGUGGUGGUUGUGAAAAGUGCAAGUGUUCGUUACCAGUGUUGCUGCCUGAUAAUGUAACCAAGAGGACACCCAAAGUCUGCCUUUUUGUAAUAUUAAUGAUCCAAGAACACUUAUUACAAUCAGCUUGCUGAAUUUUAUACAGCCUCUGUGUGAGUGUUUGGAUCUAUAACUUUCAGUGAAAUUAUCAAAGAAAAUCUUAGAUUUUGGCCAUCAAAGUUGUGUCAGAAAUUCUAGAAAAAUAACACAACUGUACAACAUGGGAAUUAUUUUCAUUUAUGUUGGAUCCACAUUGGAAUACCCGAUAUGGUCAACACUGGAGUGAUCCUCUAUUCUGAGGUUUGGCAAUGCCUUUAGUCAGGCUGGCAAGGAUUUCUGUACUGAUUUGUUUUGAAAUUCAUUAGCUUUCAAGAACCACUUUAGUUAAUGGACUGUGUACAUUAUUGUCACGUAUGCAUGUCUUUGUACAAAUAAUUAUAGUAGAGAGUCGACUAACUACAGCUACUUGCUCCAACAGGGUUAUGAGGUAACCAUCUUUAGGUCAGUUCUUGUUAAGUAAGUUUGGUGUCUGAGGUUUUGGAGUUUUGAAAUCAAAGUUCUUCUGAGAGGAAUUCGUAAGACAUGUAUUAAGGAAAGUUAUUAUGCCCCAUCACCAUAGGCUGAGGGGCAUAGUGUAAUGGUUUGCACUUGAGCUUGUGUACAUCUGUCUGUCCGGGACUCAAUACACAUUAUCUGAAGAUGGAUGGAUAUUAAUCAAACUUACAACACACACACACACUACAAUAGAAAUUUCUACAUGUGAGUAAUUUUGAGGGGAGUCAGGGUCACAAAGGCAUGUGUACUCCGAUGCUGCUAGAUGUUCAUGUACACAAUAUCUGUAGGCUGGUUGGAGGAACAUUGAUCAUAUUAGUACCAGAGAAAUUAUAUACAGAGUUCCUUACCUGUUUGAUUUUUUAAGGUCAGCCCACCCCUGUCUGCUAAAGUGCUAGUUACUAAAUGCUUCUGUGCCAGAUAUACAGAUACUGGAAAACUUAAUGAUUGGAUUUUUACCAAACAUGUACUGCGGAUUCUAUUCUGUAUUACACUUGACUAGUUUUUUAUGGAGGUUGGGUCAAAAGCCAAAGUCACUGUUUAAUGGUUAUUGGUCUUGUGUUCCCAGCCGAGCAGAUGGGGCAUGCAGUAUUUCCUUGUCCCCUACCUGUGUGCAUGUCCGUCCUGAUCUUGUGUACCAAAGAAGUUUUUAGGAUGAGAGACUUCACUUAUAUGUCAGUGAUGCAUCAGUAACACUUGCAACGAGAGUCUUUUAGGCCACUCGUGUACCUCCAGAAUUAACACUUAUGUCAAUGGCAGUUUUGUAUGGUAUAACUUGUUGAAAAUCCCAUAAAGAAUGAAUUUGCCAUCCAUUUGGGUUGAAGAAACUGAAAGUGAAGAUAUACUGUAGUAGUAGUGGUUUGGGAGUCUUGUUGAGUGCUGUUGAUAUUUUAAAGCAAAUAUAUCCCCUCUACACAUCUCUUGAGGGGCCAAUUUUAUGUAAUUUUAAACACUUUCAUUAUCCCAUCAGACUCAUUGAGUUAGCAUGUUUACGUCGAGUGUGGCACGAGCCAAUGGAGGCACUCCCGUGUUAGUGUUACGGAGAAUCCUGUGAGUGGAAUCGUUUAUCCUGGAACCUCUUUAUCUUGUACCACUGAUUGUUGUUACAGUGCCAAGUUCUCUCCCUAAUUAGUUGAUUGAGUUCAAGGGGUUAAAUUCACAGUCAUGUAUACUAAAAUAUUUAUCAUGUCUCCUCUUAACAUCCUAUCCAUUCGGGGAGUUGGUCUGUUCUUUGUUACUUUGUUAUGACCUUCCUUGUCCAGGAUGAAUGGAUAUUGACCUUAUGCCCAUUGCCAAGCUGAUGGGCAUAUUGGUUCACUCCUUUCCGUGCCUCCAUCCAUUGUUCUGAUCUGGUGUACACAAUGUCUCAUGAUUGGGUGAAGGAAUGGUUACUAAACUGUAACUACUAUACAUGUAAAGUUCUACACCUGAUUUAUUGUUGGAGGUCAGGAGGGGUCAAAGCUUAAGGUCAUGUAUACUAAAAUGCUAAAAGUGUAAUUGUUUUAAAUGUUCUUUAAUGACCUGACUAGAUUUUUAAGCUCUUGUAAGUUUUUACACAAAUAAUUAUUCCUCAGUUUUUUGGGGAGUAAUUGGACAUUUUUUGUGGUCAGCGAGUAUUUGUAUAUGUUUUACAAAGAGAAUUACUGUUUUAUUUAGAUAUAUGUUGGUCAGUGACUUUGAUUAGGUUAUAAACACAAGAAAAAUAAUGUACACAGAUGCAUAUUGUAGUAUAAUUUAAACAGAAUUUCCGAGAAAGUAGUGAGUCGUAUGCAAGGUUGUCCACAGGGAAGAGAAUUACACUACACCACCCACUUAAGGUACUGAAUAAAGGAACAUGUAUGUAAACGUUUGCUGUUGAAGACGUUGGACAUUCAGAGAGAGAAAAUUUUUGGUGCUUUUAUGGAAUUUUAGGAAAUAUAUGAUAAAGUAUUUUGGAAUAUUAUGUGUAUGAGUUUUAGUUCUUUAUUCUGUGCGGAGAAGACUAUUUUAUAUUGUCCAUGGUAUUAGGAUGAGAAUUGUUCCUGUGUAGUAGUACAGGGUGGUGAGUGUGUCUGUGUGUGUGUCUGUCUGUCUGAUGUUUGGUUAUGUAAGCUUGCCAAAAUUUUUGACAGUUAUGGGAAUGGUUUAUGGAUGGCUGGUGCCAAAGAUACAAGUUAAGUGAUUCUGAGGUCAGGUAAUUUCAUAUUAGGAUAGGGGAAGCUGUUAGUUAUUAUUUUGACCCACUGAAUCAGAAGAGGAAUUAGGUAAAAUGCAAAUGGGGAAAAAGUCCUUCAGUAGGGUAAUGUUUGUCUCGUGAGAAAAUGUUGAAUAAAAUGGUCAGGCGUUCACCAAAUAAAAUAUUUAAAGCAGUGUCCCCGUAGUGAAAGGUUUAAUGAGUUUAGUUAUUUAUGUGCAGUGGAAAAGGCUAGGUAUUUCUUGCUAGUAUGUUGUGCAGGAAGAGAAGUAUAGGCAGUAUUGAGGACUAAGAAAUGGAAAGAUUCUGUGAUAUAUAUAGAGUUACAGUAAUUCCUAGCAUAUCAUAGUAUACUGUACUGUAUGUACAGUAAACUCUCAUGUAUAGAGAGAAUCUAUUGCCUUGGUUAAUAUUGCCAUAAUAGGUGAAUGUAAAACUGCCCCCCCCCCCUUAUACACACACA
rnacentral:misc_RNA from 1 species